CCUACGGGAGGCAGCAGUGAGGAAUAUUGGUCAAUGGGCGCAAGCCUGAACCAGCCAAGUCGCGUGAGGGAUGACGGUCCUAUGGAUUGUAAACCUCUUUUGUAGGGGAGCAAGGCCAGCCACGUGUGGCGGGAAGGAGAGUACCCGAAGAAAAAGCAUCGGCUAACUCCGGGCCAGCAGCAGCGGUAAUACGGAGGAUGCGAGCGUUAUCCGGAUUUAUUGGGUUUAAAGGGAGCGUAGGUGGAUUGUUAAGUCAGUUGUGAAAGUUUGCGGCUCAACCGUAAAAUUGCAGUUGAAACUGGCAGGCUUGAGUACAGUAGAGGUGGGCGGAAUUCGUGGUGUAGCGGUGAAAUGCUUAGAUAUCACGAAGAACUCCGAUUGCGAAGGCAGUUCACUGGACUGCAACUGACACUGAGGCUCGAAAGUGUGGGUAUCAAACAGGAUUAGAUACCCGAGUAGUC
rnacentral:rRNA from 1 species